rnacentral:rRNA from 1 species
CCUACGGGAGGCAGCAGUGGGGAAUAUUGCGCAAUGGGGGAAACCCUGACGCAGCCACGCCGCGUGAGUGAAGACGUAUCUCGGUAUGUAAAGCUCUAUCAGCGGGGAAGAAGGAAGACGGUACCCGACUAAGAAGCACCUGCUAACUACGUGCCAGCAGCCGCGGUAAUACGUAGGGGGCAAGCGUUAUCCGGAUUUACUGGGGGUAAAGGGAGCGUAGACGGCGUCGCAAGUCUGAAGUGAAAGCCCGUGGCUCAACCGCGGAACCGCUUUGGAAACUGCGUGGCUGGAGUGCUGGAGAGGUAAGCGGAAUUCCUGGUGUAGCGGUGAAAUGCGUAGAUAUUAGGAGGAACACCAGUGGCGAAGGCGGUCUGCUGGACAGCAACUGACGCUAAGGCGCGAAGGCGUGGGGAGCAAACAGGAUUAGAUACCCGAGUAGUC